AUAUCAUAUAAAGGCCCAAGGAAGGAGACGGAAAGUUCGUUCUCUUUGGUUCGUGUGGGCGAUUGGGUGGGCUGGGGGGUGUCUGUUUGAGACUUUCAGGAGUUCGCAGAGGGUCUCCUCUAUAUUCUCUCCUUCUUUUUGUAGUUUGAAAA